rnacentral:rRNA from 1 species
UACGGAGGGUGCAAGCGUUGUCCGGAAUCACUGGGCGUAAAGGGCGCGUAGGCGGCUCAUGAAGGCUGUGGUGAAAGUCCGGGGCUCAACCUCGGAUCGGCCGUGGCGACUCGUGGGCUGGAGCACUGUAGAGGCGGGUGGAAUUCCGGGUGUAGCGGUGGAAUGCGUAGAGAUCCGGAAGAACACCAGUGGCGAAGGCGGCCCGCUGGGCAGUGGCUGACGCUGGAGGCGCGACAGCGUGGGGAGCAAACAGGG